rnacentral:lncRNA from 1 species
ACGUAGUGCGCAGGCGCAACAUUGAGGCCGCCGUUAGGAGGGCGGGACGGGGCCAAAAAGGUGAAUGGGGGCGGAGCUAAGGUCCGCUCGAGGAGGCGGGGUCAGAAUCACGGGGCGGGGCCGAAGUUUCCAGAGGCCGGAUGUAGGAGUCUUAAGCGGUGGGGGAUCCUCGAACCUGGCGGGUGGUUUGCAGUGCGCAGGCGUAACACGAGGGGUCGCGCUAGGUUCGGAGUGGACUGUCCCUUCCCUGCACAGGAAAGAGAAAGGGGGAGUGGGUAGUAGCCACUCAAGGGGUGUGGUGGAAGCGGGAGGGGCGGGGCCAAAGUUUCCCUUGGCAGGAGGCGGAUGAGAGGCGGGGGCCAGGGGAGGGGCCCAGGACUCAAUGCUCCUGAUUAGGCAAGAGCCGGCAGCUGGUGGAGAGCUGAGUCCCUUUUCUAGAAGUAGAGUCCUACCUUUUCCUCCCCUCUCCCCUAGUGUAUCCUUUGCAAACCCUCGGACCUGGACACCGUUUGGUGCGCUUCUGUGGGCACAUUCCCCUACUGAUUCAUGCAUCUGUCAACUGAAGUAUCACGCCGCUGGUUGUAGGUUCCACAGCCACCUCCUCAGAGCCUCAUCACUCCUGUGCUUCCCCAGCUGCCUACCCAGUAAAAAGCUGAUGACAUUUUUGGAGGCCAGGGCGGAUCUGAGGCCCUUUCAGCUGUGCUCUCUUCCUGAAGCCAUCUGUCGUGUCAACUAGUCAUGGAUAAAGAAGCCUCUGAGGUCAGUCCCAGCCCACCUACAGUGACCAUCAAGAAGAAAGAUAAAUGUGCAAGAUCCGAAAAGUUCUCCAAAAAUGUUCUGAUCUUUUUACUGGGGAGGCAGCUGGGGAGGCACAGGAGUGACGUGGACCUGUCAAAGUGGCUGUGGAUGCUGACAUGAGCUGCCCCAGGGUGGAGCUGGCCAUGGCCAGAGUCCUAAAACCUACCUGCUCAUGCCUGUCUGUAACUUUAGAAAAAAAUAAAAACAAGUAACAAACUCCUCCCUUGU